UACAGAGGUCCCAAGCGUUGUUCGGAUUCAUUGGGCGUAAAGGGUGCGUAGGCGGCGCGGUAAGUCGGGUGUGAAAUCUCGGAGCUUAACUCCGAAACUGCAUUCGAUACUGCCGUGCUUGAGGACUGGAGAGGAGACUGGAAUUCCUGGUGUAGCGGUGAAAUGCGCAGAUAUCAGGAGGAACACCGAUGGCGAAGGCAGGUCUCUGGGCCGCAGCUGACGCUGAGGAGCGAAAGCAUGGGGAGCGAACAGG
rnacentral:rRNA from 1 species